UGUUGCAGUGACGACUUCGCGC
rnacentral:miRNA from 2 species